GCAGACAAUUCACCAUCCAGCUCUCAAUUAGCUUCUUUUAAAGUCUGCAGCCAGUUAUGGGCCAGCUAAUCCAGCCACAGCUCUGCAGAUCCAAAGGAACACAGGUGCUUACAUCAAACUUGAAUAUUUGGAGUUUCCAGACAUCUGCCCGUGGCUGUGGGGACAUGGAGAGGCACAGAUGACCUGGCUGGGCUCUGUCCCCAUGGCAGCAGGUACUGCAUUUGGGCCCAGCAUCAAGUCUGCUGUUACAGUAGAACCAGACCUAGAGCAGAGCAGGAAAUCCAACCUCCCUGUCUCCUUUGGAAGGAAAAGAGCUGCUAGUUUUCCUCACAAGCAUAUGGCCCAAAUCUGCAAAACACCAAAUGCCUUCUGUGCUGAGUGCAAUUCAAGUAGCACUGAUUUAUCUCACUGCAAUGAACUUUGAUCUUGCUGAGCUCAAAUGGUGCCUUUGAGAAGCUGGCAGGAAUCUCACAGAGGUGCCAGGUCCUGGAGUGCUGCAGGGGGAGAGCAGUGGUGUGAGGUGAGGAGUGGAUCUCAGGUUACUACAGCAGCGUCUGAUCUCUGUAAAUCUGCAUUAUCACCCAUGAAACCAAACAAAAUGAGAUGGAAUGCUGAAUCAGUGAAACCUUAUUCCACUUCCCACAGGAUUUAGCCCUAAACCAUGAAGGAAAUACAUUUUCCACCUCUCCUUCCUGCUGGAAAUAAAACCUGCAACAGGUCAUCAACAUCUCGUCAAUAAAAAUAUUACCAGGGACAUUCAAUUAAAAAAGUUACUGACCUUACACAAAUUCUUAACUCCUGGUUAAUCCAGACACCUGUUUCCAGGAUUAUAAAUAGUUACCUUACUUCAUCAGCUCCCCUCUGGUUGAUGUUAUGGAAUAAUGUGCCAUGAAUAUAGCUAAGAGGGUACAGCCAUUCCUUUGGGCACUUAAAAUGCACAUUUCAAGCUUUGUUUGACAUGUCACAUGCUGUGACAAAAUCCAUGAUGAAAAUCCUUGUGUUUGCAUCUGUGUGACAAUGAAAACUCUUGUUAUGGGGCAGAUCCUUCAACUCCUUAAACACAACGACAGGACUGGGGAAAAGUCACCUGGGUGCUACAGCCACUUUUGGGAAAUUAGAACUAGUGUAGCGUUCACUUAUGGAACUACGCCCAAAUUUUGGGAAAUUAGAAUUAGGGUCAUUCUGAUAUAGGAAAUAACAGCAAAGUCCCCCCCACCCCCACAGCAUGGGAUAGAGAUAGGAUGUAAUAACUAUUUAUGUAAUACUUUUGGUUAGAAUGGUUAGUAAUAUGGAAAGUAUCAGUCUUACAGUCCAAUAUAUAAAAUCUCCGUC